UACGUAGGGGGCAAGCGUUGUCCGGAUUCAUUGGGCGUAAAGAGCGUGUAGGCGGCCAGGUAGGUCGGUUGUGAAAACUGGAGGCUCAACCUUCAGAGGUCGACCGAAACCAUCUGGCUAGAGUCCGGGAGAGGAGAGUGGAAUUCCUGGUGUAGCGGUGAAAUGCGCAGAUAUCAGGAAGAACACCCGUGGCGAAGGCGGCUCUCUGGAACGCAACUGGACGCUGAGACGCGAAAGCGUGGGAGCAAACAGG
rnacentral:rRNA from 1 species